rnacentral:rRNA from 1 species
AUGAAAAUCACGGUGUGCAACUGCCGGAGGUUGGGGAACGGCCCGACAGUGAGAGGGCUUCUAGACCUCCAGAAGCAGGUGGACCCUGACAUGCUUUUCCUAUCUGAAACCAAGAUGAACAGCAAAAAUAUGGAAAGAUUUAAACGAAUGUUAGGGAUGGACCAGAUGUUGAUAAGGAACUGUGAAGGAAAGAGUGGUGGACUAGCUCUACUGUGGAAGAAAGGAGUGAGAGUUGAGCUCCAAAAUUUCUCAAGGCUCCAUAUAGAUGUGGUAAUAAACGAAAAGGACGGUUUCAAAUGGCGGUUCACAGGAAUUUACGGUGAACCUGCAAGUGAUAAAAAGCAUACAACCUGGAGACUUUUAAGUGUUCUUAAUCAGCAGAUGAAUCUUCCUUGGUUAUGUGCUGGAGACUUCAAUGAGAUUAUGUACAACCAUGAAAAGAGAGGAGGUCCGAGUAGAUCACAAAAAGCAAUGGAGAGUUUCAGGCUGGCACUUGCUGAAUGUGGGCUGCGAGACUUGGGUUAUUCAGGUGAUAAAUUCACAUGGCGCAACCACAACCAUAUAGCAAGUCGAUACAUAAAAGAAAGGUUGGACAGGGCAACAGGGAAUCGUAGCUGGUGCAAUCGAUUCCCAAACUACAAAGUCGUAAAUGAGGAUCCAAGACACUCAAAUCACCGUCCUGUAACUAUAUUGAUGGAGAGUACAAAUCAUAGACACAAUACAGGAGGGUAUGCCAAAGCUUUUAGAUUUGAAGCCAAAUGGUUGCAAGAGGAGGAUUGCGAGGCAGUGGUGAACAAUGCAUGGGCUACUGCUGCAGCGCGAGGAGUAAAUAAAGCAGCCGACAAGUUGCAUGCAGUAGCUUGUGACCUAAAAGAGUGGGACACAAACGUCUUAGGCAAUCUAGAAAAGAGGAUAAAUCAACUCAAAAGAGAAUUAGAGGAAGUAAGGAGGAAAGAGAUCAACCAGGUUAAUGUGUCAAGAGAACUUUUUUUGAAGGAAAAGCUGGACAGAUUAGAACAUCAAAGGGAUAUUUUUUGGAAGCAAAGAGCUCAUGUCAAAUGGCUUGAAUCAGGAGAUAAGAAUACUGCUUUCUUCCAUGCUUUUGCAUCAGAAAGAAAACGCAAAAACACAAUUUGA